UACCAGCACCCCGAGUGGUCGGGACGUUUAUUGGGCCUAAAGCAUCCGUAGCCGGUUCUACAAGUCUUCCGUUAAAUCCAACUGCUUAACAGGUGGGCUGCGGAAGAUACUAUAGAGCUAGGAGGCGGGAGAGGCAAGCGGUACUCGAUGGGUAGGGGUAAAAUCCGUUGACCCAUUGAAGACCACCAGUGGCGAAGGCGGCUUGCCAGAACGCGCUCGACGGUGAGGGAUGAAAGCUGGGGAGCAAACCGG
rnacentral:rRNA from 1 species